AGGUAGGUGUCUAACCCAAGACAUACAGAAUCAUGCACGGAGACGAGGUAAAGAAAAAUAAUAAUUUUAUUUUAAUGUGGAGGUGAACUGAAGGCGUACUGGAGAUCCAGCGGGAGGACGAAUCCGGAAGCGGUAACUGAGAGGGAGACCAGAGGUGAGUGAUGGGAGUUGUAGUUCAGAAGGAAUGUUUGAAGACGGAACUUAUGGUGAGGAAGUUCGGGAUGAAUGUGGAGGGGAGGUGAGCCGGGGUGAUUUCCAGAAGGGACUUGUGAUAGUCGGAGUGGAUGAGUGGAAUGGACGAGGCGGAUGAGGAUGAGGCAGCGGAGAGAGAGCGUGAUCGGUGGAGAGCGGGGCAGCUGGGUGGAGAAGGUAUCCAGGCAACGAACCGGUGAAAUAAUCCUCUGACUUGAAGACAGAAGUGGAUCCCACGAUGAGGUGAGUCUGUGGGUGAUUAUCCAAACGGGAAAACGAGCUCAGGUUAAACGAGUUUCAAAGUUACUAAAACGAGACGAGUUACAAAAUCACAGUGUGGCUAGAAUCUACCCGGCAGUAGAUAAUCAUCCGGCAUCGAAUGUGGAUAACCGUCCUCCUUUUAAAGCCGCCCCGCUGAUCAGUCUGAUGAUGAUCAGCUGCGCUCCCUCUCCUGCAGGUAGAAACUCAGAGAUGAUUAGAUGACAUGUCGAGUACUCACCCCAGCUCAUGACAGCGUGACCUGUUGGCCAAAUUAUAAAAGUGAUGCAAGCGUGAACCAGGCAGUAAAAAACGCAAAGGAGCCGGGACCUGAAUGGGAAACGUAUGAUGUCCGAAUUCUUAAAUCAUGUGAUCAGUACUUCGAGGCAAGACAACACCUAAAUUAGUCACGUCAUGCCACACUUCCAACCUGCAGACAGAAGAGGAGGAAGAGGACAUGCGACCCAAGAGGAAGCCAAAGGCGAUUGAAGACGAACAUCCAAGAAAGAAAUCCAGAAGCCAAUCCAAAACAUCAAUACAGCCACCAGCUCCUGCUGUCCCGCCACCACCAUCUCCUGCGGUUGAACCACCACCAUGCCAACAACAAACCUUGUCUGCAAGCCAGGUGCACACACUUACCUGGCGAGGGAGAAGGUUUGACUAUGGGCACCCUUCCCUGCUCUGGUGGGUAAUUUUUUUUGUUGGUUUUGAAAUGAUUUAAAUUACAUGUUAUUUAAUAAGCCAUAAGGCGAAGGAUUCCAUAGGAAAUAUGAAAUCCACCUUAUGGAUAUGUAAGGCUAAUUAAACCAGAAGAUUGGAACUUUUUAAUGCAGGGAUUA